AAAAGCCAAAUAUCCUCAAUGGAGAGGCCCUCCACGUCAGAAAAAAUAAUCAACCAAUGAUAGAGCUUUAUCUCUCCUUAGAGAGUACCACGUUAGAUAAUAAAGAGAGGAGAGCCUUUUCAGUUCUCCUUCUCACCAAGAAACGUAUGCAGUUAUGAAAAUCAAUCAACGACUUCCACUCCAUGAGCUUCAAUCCUCUUUAUCACUCUGAUUGAGUAUAUAUAGAAGUUGCCAUGGAGGUAGAAGAGCAUUUUCUUUCUUUGCUCAUGACCCUUCUUCCUCUCUCCCUCGAUUGUUUUAAUUUCGUCCCAAUGGCGGCGAACUCGACGAUCCGGUUACCCAUUGGUCUAUGGAUCAUCACAAGUUCCCGGGAAUGGCUUCAACGCACGAGAAAUGUGGCCUUGGUCUUCUAGGUCAGAGUCGUGCCCCUUCAUUUCCCUAUUUCAGUGAUUGGAAAUUCGAUUACCAAUCGGAUCUGAAACCUAAGAUUUGAUCCAGUUUAUGAUCUGAGUAAAGUCAAACUAUCAUAUUCUUCUUGCUACUGGUUGAUGGAAAGCCAUAGGUUUUGCUACAGGAAGGAUAAUUCUCGGAUAGACUGAAGUGGUGCAAAACAGAGACUUCAAUAAAGUUUGGAAAUGUGGCAGAUGUGCCACUAUUUAUAAUCCUGUGGGGAUACUAGAAGGUUUUGCAUUGCCUUGGUCAUGGUUGCAUAAUCCUUCGGUUGCUAACAGAGCCAAUGGUUUACUUCACCCUGAAGAGCUUUUUGUACAGGCUUGGUACACCCCCAAGACGAACGGUUAACUCGGUGGUUUGAUAUAAGCUGCGGGUGAAUGAAAUGAUGGUAACUUCUGGAUUGAUCUCCCUCAGUGGGAUAUUCACAGGCAUGUGAUGUGGACUUUCUUUCUGUUUAUUGGCACAUCGACGCUCAAUCCACUUUACACAUGACCGCAUCAGGGAGUACGUUGGUAACGUCGAACAUAUUGCCUUCCAGAUAAGCAAAUUUAACGGCUAGGUGCUUAGAUGUUCUUCUCCCAGCAUAGCCGUGGCGGAUCGGCUGAUAUAUCUGAUCGGCUGAGCCAUUGCCAAGGGUGAACAAGAAGGGUGGUAGGGUCAGUUACAUGAUCAAGCCAAGGUUUAUGAGCUUCAAGCCAUGUUUGCAGGGGAAGCAACAUAUAUAACCCACUACUCUACAAUUCAUGGGGCUUACUUUCAUGGUUUCAAGGAAGCCAAUAGGCUUCUCAAGCAUUAAAAAGUGAUCUUUGAGUGUUUGUUUUAAGAUAUGUAUUUUUGGUCAAUGUGUUUAGAAAAGCUUAAUCAGUUUUGUAAGAUUUUUUUUUAAGAGAGAAUAAACUUAUAUUACAUGUCACGAUUUUUUAUCGAGUAUGAAGCAUAUAAAAGAAGUGGAGAACAGUUGUAAACUCAUCCAUGAGUUUUCAAAGAGUUGAGAAGGUUAGAAAACACUUUCUGAACAUCCAUAAAUAAAUUGAAAUUCUUUUUAAUAAAAACAUUCCGUUAAACAUAAUUAUGCCCCACAAUUGAUCUCGCAAUGGAGUUUAACUUAAUGUUUCACAUGAUUAAAAAUUGCUCACAACAACCACAAAUUCAAUUCAGACAUGAUAACAUAUAAACAAUUGUUCUAAAAACAUAUAAUGUUCUAAAAACCCAAAACAAGUAUCCAUUUUGUAAAAAAAAAGAUAUACAAAAUACACCGUAAAAAUUUCAAACUUCAGAAACAAUUGUUAAAAGUGAAUUAGUCAAACUGAAUGACAAUGUACCCAAACCACGGGGUACCUUAAUCUCAUGAAGCUUUAACUAAGCUAUCUACUAUAAAAGUCAUUCAAUAAUUAUAGCAACACACAAUUGACCAACCAAUUAUGGAUUACUAAUU